AUUUCGCGAGCAUUGUUCAAAUCUGGCAAGAGGGCUUCAUCAGCAGCAAAUAAAGAUCUGGGAACAGUGGCCAAAGCAUCGGAAGCUGCUUUCAGCAUACCAUCACUCAAUAACUUGCAACGGGAUAACACACAUGCAACACCAAGAGCAGGGUAAAGGAGGGCAUUGUUGCAUUGGGAAAUCACGUAUUUUUUACCAUUGCGAUUGAGAGGAGGAAGUGGGGAACCAGUGGCUAUCAAAGCCUUUCCAUCUGACCAUUUGUCAAUUUGAUCGGGCUUCGCUUCCAUAAGAGUAGUGGGAUUAGAGAUUGGGAAAAUGAUGGGGCGCUCGACGUGCUUGCUCAUUUCACGAAUGGCUUUCUCUGUAAAUUUACCCGGUUGACCGGAACAUCCC